AGAUCGUCUGUCUUUUCCAUCUAGGAUACACAGUGAGCUGAGAAGGUCAAGGGCAUUUUCUAUAGGCAGCACACAUACUGGACUUUGGAGGCCAGUUUGCAUGAAGAAACCAGCUAUUGUCACAAACACUCUGAACAUGUCAUGCUGAGGGGCAGAGCAGCAGGCGUCCUGAUUGGAGGUCUCCUCCUAGAACGUUGGUUGCCUAGCAACAAGAU
rnacentral:lncRNA from 1 species